rnacentral:rRNA from 1 species
AUUGAACGCUGGCGGCAGGCCUAACACAUGCAAGUCGAGCGGAGCGGCGGACGGGUGAGUAAUGCCUAGGAAUCUGCAUGGUAGUGGGGGAUAACGUCCGUAAACGGGCGCUAAUACCGCAUACUAUCAGAUGAGCGUAGGUUGGGUUAGCUAGUUGUUGGGGUAACGGCCUACCAAGGCGACGAUCCGUAACUGGUCUGAGAGGAUGAUCAGUCACACUGGAACGGAGACACGCUCCGUACUCCUACGGGAGGGAGCAGUGGGGAAUAUUGGAAAAUGGGCGAAAGCCUGAUCCAGCCAUGCAGCGUGUGUGAAGAAGGUCUUCGGAUUGGAAAGCACUUUAAGUUGGGAGGCGUUACCAACAGAAUAAGCACCGGCUAACUUCGUGCCAGCAGCCGCGGUAAUAC